GAUAGAUGUCCAUCAAUUCAUGACUCAGCUUUUAUUAAUGUUUCUAUAAUUAUACAUAUUAAUAUAAUGUAAUUAAGUUUCUAUUUUUACGCGGUGCUUUAGGCAUAUCUUCUUCUAAAUCCGUUAAAUAUAAGAAUCCAGCAAG
rnacentral:sRNA from 1 species